UCUCUCCUCCGUCGUCUGCACUGCCGCGCGACUCUCCGGCCAUCUGUAUACGGUCUUUCCGCCGCACGUCAUCUCUUCGCAAAGCCACUGCUCGAUUUCUUUCGCGAAGAUUUGGGUUCGUUCUUCAUAGACUUCAACGUGGUUAAGGAGCUUAACAAAUUUGAA